AACAGGAUUAGAUACCCUGGUAGUCCACCCCGUAAACGUUGGGAACUAGUUGUGGGGACCAUUCCACGGUUUCCGUGACGCAGCUAACGCAUUAAGUUCCCCGCCUGGGGAGUACGGCCGCAAGGCUAAAACUCAAAGGAAUUGACGGGGACCCGCACAAGCGGCGGAGCAUGCGGAUUAAUUCGAUGCGACGCGAAGAACCUUACCAAGGCUUGACAUAUACGAGAACGGGCCAGAAAUGGUCAACUCUUUGGACACUCGUAAACAGGCGGUGCAUGGUUGUCGUCAGCUCGUGUCGUGAGAUGUUGGGUUAAGUCCCGCAACGAGCGCAACCCUCGUUCUAUGUUGCCAGCACGUAAUGGUGGGAACUCAUGGGAUACUGCCGGGGUCAACUCGGAGGAAGGUGGGGAUGACGUCAAAUCAUCAUGCCCCUUAUGUCUUGGGCUUCACGCAUGCUACAAUGGCCGGUACAAAGGGCUGCAAUACCGUGAGGUGGAGCGAAUCCCAAAAAGCCGGUCCCAGUUCGGAUUGAGGUCUGCAACUCGACCUCAUGAAGUCGGAGUCGCUAGUAAUCGCAGAUCAGCAACGCUGCGGUGAAUACGUUCCCGGGUCUUGUACACACCGCCCGUCAAGUCAUGAAAGUCGGUAACACCUGAAGCCGGUGGCCCAACCCUUGUGGAGGGAGCCGUCGAAGGUGGGAUCGGUAAUUAGGACUAAGUCGUAACAAGGUA
rnacentral:rRNA from 1 species